CUUAAAUCAAGUCAUCACAUCUACUCCUUCAAGAUGUCAGCGACAGGAACACGCAGCUACAGAACCAGAUCUAGGCGCACAUCUCCAGAAUGUGCAAAUUUGCAUCUCUUCUGGCCUCCAGGGAGUUACGUUUGGAAAGGCCCCACGGGGGGAGCGAGUGAAAGAGCAGCAGAAAAAGGAACCUUGGGUGGGAGAUAAGCAGACCGUGGCUCCAUCAAAGGAUGUCCUCCCCUGCAACCAAUUACCCCUCCAGGAUAAGCUCUUGUUAUUCCCUUUACAAGGAGUGCUGAUUCCAGUCCAUCCAAAC